rnacentral:misc_RNA from 1 species
AGCAAGAGCACUGCUUGCACCUUCUCAGGUGUAACAGCAGGGAAAACAUAAACCUCCCCUUCAAAAGAAAGAGUAAGUUCACUGGUCCUCGACGCCAUAACCAUACCAGGUCCACCUCCAACUCCGACGUGAUGCUCCGGCACGUUCACACCAGAAUUCACGUGCGCCUCUUCAACUUCAUCCAUGGCGUCACCGUCCCCGUACUCGCCGCCGUCGUCAUCCUCGAUCUGUAUCGGCGCUCGCACAUGUUCUUCAUAAGGACGAGCCUGCAGUGGCUGUGGAUUCGCUGCCGCCAUUCAAAAACGGUAUAGUCACCGGCGUACCUUCAGUCUCAGAGAACCGAAACCCUAAGCUAAGCUUGGAGCUAUCCGUUUCAUUGGAUUGGGUGACUAAAUGUUGAAGCUUUGGAAACCCUACCCCGAAUUUGGAAUUGGCCAAUUUUAUAUGAGCUCUCGAGAAGCUUCGAAAAUGGAAGAGAANNNNNNNNNNAAGAGAAAGACAAAGCACCCUAAUAGGUAAGAUUUGCAGGGGCCUCACUCGUGUUUCCUUGCAGAGUCUCCAAUUUGGAAUAUUUUUUUUAUUUUUC